AUGCAAAUAAGGGUGUGUAAUUAUCGUAAGAGGUUUUUGUCGCAUUCACACAUUAUAUGGCAGUUUUCGAGAUCAGAUGAUCUCCUCGAUGUACCUCGAUGGCGCCGCAGACGGCUGCUUCAGUGCUUGGUUCCCCAGUGUUUGUACUGUUUUUGUUCAUUUUUCCUGUUUUUUGUUUCUACUUAUUUGUAUUUUUUGUAUUUUUUAUUCUUUAUUAUGUGUUUUUUGUUCUGUAGCUGUCAUUCUGUUGCACUGCGGAGCUUCUGUCACAAAAACAAAUUCCUCGUAUGUGUGAACAUACCUGGCAAUAAAGCUCAUUCUGAUUCUGAUUCUGAUUCUGAUUCUUAUCUCCUCCAUCACCCAUUCCACUCCUUCCGUAAGUCUUAUUAUCUCUGGCAAUCACGUAAGGUGAUUGAGCUGUACCUCCUAGAUUCUCCGGGUGCUCCCGUUGUCAUAGGGCACCCGUGGCUGGUGCAGCACACCCCUCACGUGGAUUGGUCUGGCAAUUCUGUGUUCUCUUGGAGUCAGUCUUGUCUUGCGUCUUGUUUGGGUGCUGCCUUGUCUCCUGGCUCUGUGUCUUCUGUUUUUCAGGUUGAGGAGGUUGAUCUCCCCGGGGGCCCGGAGGGGUACUGUGAUCUUUGUCGGGUUUUCAUUAAGUCCCAGGCCACAUCCUUACCUCCUCAUCGGCCAUAUGACUAUGCCAUCAAUCUCCUCCCAGGCACUUCUCCGCCCAAGGGCCGUCUGUAUUCCCUAUCUGGUCCUGAGAGAGAGGCCAUGGACAAGUAUAUUCAGAAAUCCUUAAAUGCCGGCCUCAUCUGGCCCUCUUCCUCACCUGCUGGGGCUGGGUUCUUCGUUAAGAAGGAUGGCUCCCUGCGACCUUGCAUUGACUACCGGGGUCUUUAUGACAUCACUAUAAGAAACCGGUAUCCUCUGCCUUUGAUGUCGUCAGCCUUUGAAUUGCUACAGGGAGUCAGGGUCUUUACCAAGCUAGACCUCCAUAAUGCCUACCAUUUGAUCCAUAUACGCGAGGGGGAUGAGAGGAAGACAGCAUUCAACACCCCAACAGGACACUUUGAUUACUGGGUCCUACCCUUCGGGCUCACUAAUGCCCCACCUGUCUUCCAGGCCCUGGUGAACGAUGUGUUGAGAGACAUGGUGAACAGAUUUGUCUUUGUGUACCGUGAUGGUAUUCUAAUCUUCUCUCCCUCUUUGCAGGUCCUCACUCAACAUGUUUGUCAGGUGCUUCAACAGCUGCUGGAGAACCAGCUGUAG
rnacentral:lncRNA from 12 species